rnacentral:rRNA from 1 species
AACGCUGGCGGCGCGCUUAACACAUGCAAGUCGAGCGAGAACCAGGACUUCGGUCCUGGGGACAGCGGCGAACGGGUGAGUAACACGUGGGUAAUCUGCCCUCGGUUCCGGAAUAGCCCGGGGAAACCCGGAUUAAUGCCGGAUAGCCUCUCGAGCUCUCGAGCUCGCGAGAAAAGGUAGCUUCGGCCUCCGACCGAGGAUGAGCCCGCGGCGGAUUAGCUUGUUGGUGGGGUAACGGCCUACCAAGGCGACGAUCCGUAGCUGGUCUGGGAGGACGAGCAGCCACACUGGGACGGAGACACGGCCCAGACUCCUACGGGAGGCAGCAGUGGGGAAUCUUGCGCAAUGGGCGAAAGCCUGACGCAGCGACGCCGCGUGGGGGAAGAAGGCCUUCGGGUUGUAAACCUCUUUCAGGAGGGACGAAGCCACUCGGGUGAAUAGCCCAGAGGGUGACGGUACCUCCAGAAGAAGCCCCGGCUAACUACGUGCCAGCCGCCGCAGUAACAC